UUGACAUAAUGAGGUUUGCAUAGAAAUCGAAUCCGUAUGAAUACUUGGUUCAACAAUAAUUGAUGUUUGAACAUUCAUGUCAGUAUUCGGUACACAAGCAAGUAAUGCAUUAUUUUGU
rnacentral:pre_miRNA from 1 species